rnacentral:rRNA from 1 species
UACGUAGGGUGCAAGCGUUAUCCGGAAUUAUUGGGCGUAAAGGGCUCGUAGGCGGCCAACUAAGUCGGAUGUGAAAUCCCCAAGCUUAACUUGGGAACUGCAUCCGAUACUGGAUGGCUUGAAUCCGGGAGAGGGAUGCAGAAUUCCAGGUGUAGCGGUGAAAUGCGUAGAUAUCUGGAGGAAUACCGGUGGCGAAGGCGGCAUCCUGGACCGGCAUUGACGCUGAGGAGCGAAAGCUAGGGGAGCAAACGGG